rnacentral:misc_RNA from 1 species
UUCCUCUUCUUCUUCUUCUUCAGCACGAUUCCCAGGCCAGGCGCAGCUUUGUUGCUUUUUUAACCUAGCUACCUUUUUUUUUUCAAAGAGACGUGUUUCUAGUAUAGGCAACAUGUGCUUGACUUCUUAAAAUUGCAGAAACAGCCCUGCAAUGUUUCCCAGCCGUGUCUGGCCAUUUCUUCCAACACGGGGAAACGCCACCCCUUGCCGUUUCCGUGCAUCACAGUGUCAAAUAAUUAUGAGGCUGAAUCUUUCAAUUAUCUAUUUGAGUAGCAAGUUGUAAAAAUAGAAAAUAAAAAAUAAAAAGAAGAAGCAAAGUUAGCAACUUUUUCAUGUAAAUCUAUCAUGAGCACAAUGAAUUGUGGAUAUGAAUUCUAAUUUCAUUGACAUUCAUUUUUACAUUGAUGAUGUUGUGCUAAAGCACAGUAGAGGAAGAAAAUUUAUGUGGCACAUGACAAAUUAACAUAAUAAAUUCUUGCAUCUAACCCAUGGAAUCAAAUGACAGCCGUUACAUAAUGUAACGACCGUUAUUUACAGGUUUAGAAGGAGGCCGUUACACGUUAGGCUGUUAUUUACGGGUUUAUUUUGGUUUGCAGAUUAACAGCCGUUACUGCCAUUAUGUAACGGUAACAGCUGUUAAAUGACGGUAAUGACCGUUGGCAGAAUUGGUGGGCUGAUGAGGAUAGAAAUCACAUGAUAAAAUCAAUUCAAAACAGUCCAAAAACCACCCAAUUUUGUUCCAAACAGCAGAGAAUAAUUCAGAGAAAUAAUUGUCUCCCUCCUUUGCAGAAACUCACUUUUUCCCUUUCAUCCAUUCUCCACCUUCACAACUCAUUUUCUCUUUCCUUGCAAACAAAAGAUAGCAACCCCCUAUUGGUGGUAAUAAGUUUAGUUAUUUACAAUUUACAUAAUUAUUUUAGCUCUAAAUUAGUUAAUGCUAAUGAUGUCCAACAAUGAUAGAUGAUAAUGUCUUUAUUUGAUGCAUAAAUGCUUAGUAUAUAAUUGUAUCUUAAUUUUAUUUAUUUCUAC